UACGACUACAUAUCAGGCAUAUCAAUAAGCGGAGGAAAAGAAACUAACAAGGAUUCCCUUAGUAACGGCGAGUGAAGCGGGAAGAGCUCAAAUUUGAAAUCUUCAAGGUUCUACCUUGACGAAUUGUAGUUUAAAGAAGUGUUUUCUGUUAGAUGAGUAGCAAAAGUUCCUUGGAAUGGGACAUCAUAGAGGGUGAGAAUCCCGUAUUUGGUUAUUCAUUCUAGCUUUGUGAUACACUUUCAAAGAGUCGGAUUGUUUGGGAAUGCAGUCCAAAAUGGGUGGUAAAUUUCAUCUAAAGCUAAAUAUUGGCGAGAGACCGAUAGCGAACAAGUACCGUGAGGGAAAGAUGAAAAGAACUUUGAAAAGAGAGUUAAACAGUACGUGAAAUUGUCAAAAGGGAAGCGUUUGACACCAGCUGUUGUUUUUCCGAAAAUCAAUUACGAAUGGCUUGAUUUUGUGUUGUAUUGACCUUAUCAGCUUUCUUCACUUUUUUCGAGUCUUUCUUAAUGCACUUUUCGGUUAACAAGUCAACAUCAAUUUCUUUUGUUGUAAAAGAGUAUUCGGAAGGUGGCUUUCUUUUCGGAGAAAGUGUUUAUAGCCCUAUACUUCUACAAUCGGAGAGAUUGAGGUCUGCAGCGUAGAUCCUUCGGGGUUAGAUACACUUUGUGCUAAGUUGUAGCUUUUCAUAGACAACUUGUUGACUAUGUUUAGUCAUGCGGCUUACUCGCUUAGUGCUAUUUUACCUACGCUUAGGAUGUUGAGGUAGCGACAUACGCAC
rnacentral:rRNA from 1 species